rnacentral:rRNA from 1 species
CGUGAGUGAUGAAGGCUUUCGGGUCGUAAAGCUCUGUCAAGUGGGAAGAAACCAUAUGGUAUUAAUACCGCCAUAUGUUGACGGUACCAUUGAAGGAAGCACCGGCUAACUCCGUGCCAGCAGCCGCGGUAAUACGGGGGGUGCGAGCGUUAUUCGGAUUUACUGGGCGUAAAGAGCGCGUAGGCGGUCUUUUAAGUCAGGUGUGAAAGCCCGGGGCUCAACCCCGGAAGUGCACUUGAAACUAAGAGACUUGAGUAUGGGAGAGGGAAGUGGAAUUCCUGGUGUAGCGGUGAAAUGCGUAGAUAUCAGGAGGAACAUCGGUGGCGAAGGCGACUUCCUGGACCAAUACUGACGCUGAGGCGCGAAGGCGUGGGGAGCAAACAGGAUUAGAUACCCUGGUAGUCCACGCAGUAAACGGUGAACACUAGGUGUAGCGGGUAUUGACCCCUGCUGUGCCGCAGCAAACGCAUUAA